CACGUAGGGCGCGAGCGUUGUCCGGAAUUAUUGGGCGUAAAGAGCUCGUAGGCGGCCUGUUGCGUCCGCUGUGAAAGCCCGGGGCUUAACCCCGGGUCUGCAGUGGAUACGGGCAGGCUAGAGGUAGGUAGGGGAGAAUGGAAUUCCCGGUGUAGCGGUGAAAUGCGCAGAUAUCGGGAGGAACACCGGUGGCGAAGGCGGUUCUCUGGGCAUUACCUGACGCUGAGGAGCGAAAGUGUGGGGAGCGAACAGG
rnacentral:rRNA from 1 species